rnacentral:rRNA from 1 species
UACGUAGGGUGCAAGCGUUGUCCGGAAUUAUUGGGCGUAAAGAGCUCGUAGGCGGUUUGUCGCGUCUGCUGUGAAAACCUAAGGCUCAACCUUGGGCUUGCAGUGGGUACGGGCAGACUAGAGUGCGGUAGGGGUGACUGGAAUUCCUGGUGUAGCGGUGGAAUGCGCAGAUAUCAGGAGGAACACCGAUGGCGAAGGCAGGUCUCUGGGCAUUAACUGACGCUGAGGAGCGAAAGCAUGGGGAGCGAACAGG